AUCAAAAUAAAGAGUCGAAGUAGUUUUAUUCGCAGAAGAAUCAGAGGCGUUGCAGUGAGAGAUCAGAAAUGGAGAAUCGUACGAAAACGCGCCGAGAUUUCGGAUUCUGUUUCUUCAACUUUUCAUCUAACACACAACAAAUUAAACGCCUCCGAAGACGAAGAAGAUGAAACCAAUACGAAAGCAAUCCGGCGCAUAGGUUGCGCUGAUGCUUUCCGGAAUGGGAUCAGAUAGGUGGCCGCGCACGCGAAGAGAGGGGGGAGGGGUUUGCGUGCAUGCGCACAAAGUGUUUGUCGUUUGGUCUGAGAGAAAAGGAAGGCGAAAUGAGCGGAGAAGGUACGGUGGUGGUGAUGGAUGGGAUGUCAUGCCAGAUUGCAGCGCGCGCGCGCGCACACGCAGGUAUAACUUAUCUCUUCGGCUUUGUCUUCCAUUUUUUUUUUUUGUUGCAUAUAAUCGAGUUCGAUAUUAAAUUGCUAUUACCGAUUCAAGUUCAUCGCUGGUAGAUAUUCUGCGUUUUAAUUUGUUACUUGUUGUUCUCAUCGUUUUAAAACGUGUCUGUUAAUGAGAGGUUUUCACACCUUGAAUGUUUCGUUCCCGACCGAUAUGAGAACUCACAAUUCACCCAAGCCCAAUGUCCUCGCUUGCACACGUCUUGGUGCGGGUAUUGUAAUACCCAAAAUUCAAUAUUAUAUGUUUUGAUCCAUUAUAUAUUAUCACCAUUCUCACGAAUUUUAAAAUAUGUCUGCUAGUGAGAGGUUUCAACAUAAGAAAUGUUUCGAUCCCUAAUCCAUCCCCUGAGACCCAACAUCUUUGUUGGCACACUGCUCAACGGUUGAUUUUGAUACUAUUCAGAGAUAUUAUCCACUUUGGUCCUGUUAAAUAUUGUCAUCAAUGCACUGUUUUAAAACGUGUUUGCUGUAUAGAGGUUUUCACGUAAGGGAAUGUUCUGAUUCACUCUUUAACUGAUGUGUAAUCUCACAAUACAUCCCCCGGGACCUAGCAUCCUCAUUGACACAUUGCUCGAUGCCAUGCUCUAGUACCAUUUGUAACAGCUCAAUUUACUGAUAGUAGAUAUUGUCCACUUUGAUC